rnacentral:rRNA from 1 species
CCCUUAGAUGUUCUGGGCCGCACGCGCGCUACACUGACGAAGUCAGCGAGCAUGUCCUACGCCGACAGGUGCGGGGUAUCUUGUCAAACUUCGUCGUGAUGGGGAUUGAUUAUUGAAAUUCUUGAUCAUCAACGAGGAAUUCCUAGUAAGCGCAAGUCAGCAGCUUGCGUUGAUUACGUCCCUGCCCUUUGUACACACCGCCCGUCGCUACUACCGAUUGAAUGGUUUAGUGAGAUCUUCGGAUUGGCGCCACUGCGGCUCAGCAAUGGGCUCGGUGGAUGCCGAAAAGUUGAUCAAACUUGAUCAUUUAGAGGAAGUAAAAGUCGUAACA